rnacentral:rRNA from 1 species
UACGAAGGGGGCUAGCGUUGUUCGGAAUCACUGGGCGUAAAGCGCACGUAGGCGGAUUGUUAAGUCAGGGGUGAAAUCCUGGAGCUCAACUCCAGAACUGCCUUUGAUACUGGCGAUCUUGAGUCCGGGAGAGGUGAGUGGAACUGCGAGUGUAGAGGUGAAAUUCGUAGAUAUUCGCAAGAACACCAGUGGCGAAGGCGGACUCACUGGCCCGGUACUGACGCUGAGGUGCGAAAGCGUGGGGAGCAAAGCA